AGGAUAGCCGGACCGGGAAGGGCCGCGCCGGACUGGGACGUGGUCGACACCGGAGUUGAAGUCGGCAUCAUCGUCGUCGUCGUUGUCGGCGUCGGGGCCAAAGGAAUCAAGCGAAAUCAACGAGGCAUCCAGCAACUUGGUUAUCCAUUCCAUUGCCAUCACCAGCGUCUACGCGGAACGCCACAAGCAUUUUCUAUACCCUAGCAGUGGGUAUUAUUGAUUGGCAUGACAUGUGUUACACACGGAAGGUAUAUAUACUCUAGAUCAGUAGCUGCAGACAAGUUGAAAUAGCUUUCUGUCCAUUUAUAUGCCAGCCAAACCUAUCUUGAUGAGACUUGACAGAGAUUUGUCUUCUUGCUUUAGGCAAUACAAAUGUCGCUGACAUAGAAACGAAUUACAUUAAAGCUAAAUCUUAUCAACAACGACGCAUCGAAAUAUCUGAACAAUAAUCAAAAUUUACGUGCUUCAAAAUGUUCCUCAUGAAUACAGCAAAAUAUUGUCACAAAUGGAAUCUUUUGUACCCAAUUGAAAGAAAAUGAAGUAUUUUUACGAAAGACUUUUAUGUUCAAGAUAUCUAUUACAAAUCAUACUGAUGCUGGCAACAUCGGAUUACUAUAUCAGAAAGCCUCCAAGCGAACAAUCUGUCAGAAUUUGAGUUUAAAACUGAAAAACAAAACAUGACAGCUUAACUAAACUUAAAAGUUGCCCAUUUAAAAAUGAUCCUUGUAUAUUAACAAAUUCUAGGGAAAAUAGAAAACAAACAGACUUUUUACGUAUAAACAACAUUCCUUUUUUUAAUAAAACUAAAGAAAGCUCAGAUUCAAAAUUAAAUUAACAUCGAAAGCUCGUAUCAGAAAUAUUGGAUUUCUUUUUCUUGUUUUUACAUACAACAUUUUUACAAACAACUUCUUCGAGGGUAUUCAAACUUCGGCAAUCCCUCGUUAGGCACGAACGAGCAGACAGACGAGUAGACAGCGUGGCAAGGACAUAAACAGCAAUGGCAGCCUCAUCGAAAGGGGGAGGCGUGUUGGCCCCUGAGCCGGUGGCACCUUCAACAAGCGAGCUGGCCAGGAGGCGUGUUGCUGGUGUCGACACUCCGCGCGCGUUUUGCUGGCUCUGGCACGGAUGCUCACAACUUAAACGUCAAUGUUGAGCGCUGCAUUUGCCAGUCAAAGCCAUUGCCCAUUCGUGGCGUCUGUCCAGCGAGGAGCCAAUCUGCUUGCCACUUUAUCUGUCGCCUCCGUCGUCGCUGCUGCUGCCAUUGCCUGUCGACCCCAAUUUACAAUGCUUUUUGUCUGGGUUCAGCUUGAGAUGCCCGCCGCCAGCUAGCAAUAUUUUGGACUGUGCGGCGAGAAUCGCUGACAGCCAGGUCCUGCAGGGGACAGGCCACCACAUUGGCAGCUGUUAACAGGUAAUCCCCUUACCCAGCUGUCGCGGUGCCACGCCCCGCCAUUAUUCAAGGCAGCUCACAGCAUGCACAGAAUUUUUCAUAAACUCGUUUAACGAACGAAUGGGCAAAGAGCUAUACGCCAGCGAGAGCGCGUACAAUGGGGGAAAGUGCACCGAAUACCGCUUAAAAAAUAAAACUCUCAACAGUUUAGCCGGGACACUAAGAACAUAAGCAGCUUAGAAAGUGAAAGAGCUUAAAAUUGAUUUUUUUUUCUCCAUACUUUGUGCAGUGAAUGCUAUUGAAAAUGUAUUCAUUUAAAAACUUAGGUUAUCGAUAGUAUCGAUAACUGUACUA